GAUGUCAUGGCUCCGUCUUAAAGGGGACGCGGGCGGCAGAAAGUGGAGCUGGGCUGGUGUGCGCGCGGCCGGAGUCUGUGGAGCUGGAAAUUCACCGGUCCAGGAAGACGUCUUUCCCGCGUCCCAGCACCGGUCCAGAAAGACGUCUUUCCCGCGUCCCAGCACCUCGGGCCACGCUCCUUCGUGAGAGCGCCCUCUCCAAGGAGGCCGGCCCUGGAUAUUUCACCCAAAAUAUUUAUUUUUUCUUUUUUUCUAGGGUCUCACCUUGUUGCCCAAGCUGGAGUGCAGUUGCCUGAUAUCAGCUCACUGCAACCUCCACCUCCCAGGCUCAAGCUAUCCUCCUGCCUCAGCCUUCCAAGUAGCUGGGACCACAGGUGUGCACCAUCACGCCCAGGUAAUUUUUUUGUAUUUUUAGUAGAGACCGGGUUUUGCUAUGUUGCCCAGGCUGGUCUCGAACUCCUGAGCUCAAGCAGUCCACCCACUUUGGACUCCCAAAGUGCUGGGAUUACAGGUGUGAGCCAUCGAGUCCUGUAACUAUAACUAUCUUAAAUCAUAUAUUGUUAGGCAAUAUUGGAGCAUCUGGACAUUUUGUUGUUGUAGGAUUUUGUCCUUGCAGGCAUUACUAAACUGCUCUUUUAGCCAUAGCAUCUUAUGACCAUGGGUUGGGACUAGCAAGGAAUGUGCCUUGCUAGUUUUAAGAUGGAGUUGGG
rnacentral:lncRNA from 1 species